AUGCGUAGUGUCGCCGGGCCGGCUGUGGGCGAGCUGCCGCCCACCGCCGAGCAAGCUAGCCGCCGCGCUAGCUGGACUCCGCGUCGCCGGGCGAGCUCGCCGGCGACCGCCGCGCUCGAAGCUAGUCUCCGCGCAAGCUUCCAUUCCGGGCGAGUUGGCCAUGGCUGCAUGCUGGCCUCCGCGACCUGGCCAUGGCUGCCGCCGCGCGAGCUUCCAUUCCAGGCGAGCUGGCCAUGGCUGCGCGUUGGCCUCCGCGACUUGGCCAUGGCUGCCGCCGCGCUCGAAGCUGGCAUUCGCCCCUCCGGCCGAGCUGUCCUGGGUCGUGCCGGCGGAUGGGUCUGUGGUCAACACAUCUGCAUGUUCAGCCACGAUUUUACAUCAAGGAAACUGGAGCUAGCUAGCAAGUCGAUUGGAGUCUGGCUAUUAGCUCAAUUCGUCUUCCAUUGA
rnacentral:rRNA from 1 species